rnacentral:lncRNA from 1 species
UCAUAAAGUAAGUUCAAACCAAAAAUCUCUUAUGUUAGCAUAUAUAUAUACUUACAUUUUCACAUAAUGAAUAGUAUAAAAUUUUAUUGAAUCCAAUCAACUGCUUUAUUGAGAAAAGAAAUGAAAGAAUACAAGGGUGAACAUGUAAAAGAAAAUCCAAGCCCACAAAACACCCUAGAUAAAGGGAUUCUAACAAAGUAAAAUAUUGUCUAGGGAAUAUAUUUACAAAAAGUCUUCGAAACGGAAGCCUAGAGAAACGUGAAACCUCACGGUGAUCAAACCUCACUAGGGUCUCUCUCCACUCCACAAAACAAAGAUUCCACAAUACCGUGCACACCCUCCAAGCCAAAGAAAACAACCUUUCUCUUUGAAAGAGGUGGAUGGAGAACAGAGGAGGAACUCUCCAAUCAUCAAACGAACAUCCCUCUAACGAGCAAACGCAAAAUUGAACUUCUAAAAGAAGUCAUUCCACAGAAAAAUUUAACUGCAAAAGAAUUAUUUCUUGUGACUAUAACACCACCAUAGAAGCUGUAAACUAUACACAUACCUCCAAAAGAACUCAAAGGGAGAGCUUAUCAUCCAAGGUUUUCUGAUUCCUUUCCAACUUAGUUCAUAUGUUUUUCAUAGACUGAAUUUUGAUUUUUUUGGAUAAAGAUGGCUAGCCAAUUAUUUCCCUGUUCAUAUAGACUUUGGAGAAGGUGUGGUCUUUCAUGGAAAAAUGAAAAAAGAACAAAAGUGACCCACAGCAAAGAAAUGUUUAAUCACUCUUAAUUUAAAAGAUGAAUUUUUUUUUGUUGAAUUAGUACUUUAAUGUUUAAUCACUCUUAAUUUUUACCUGCUCUUCUUUUUCUUUUAAAUAUCAUGUAAC